AUUGAACGUUGGCGGCAGGCCUAACACGUGCAAGUCGAGCGGAUGAAGAGAGCUUGCUCUCUGAUUCAGCGGCGGACGGGUGAGUAAUGCCUAGGAAUCUGCCUGGUAGUGGGGGACAACGUUUCGAAAGGAACGCUAAUACCGCAUACGUCCUACGGGAGAAAGCAGGGGACCUUCGGGCCUUGCGCUAUCAGAUGAGCCUAGGUCGGAUUAGCUAGUAGGUGGGGUAAAGGCUCACCUAGGCGACGAUCCGUAACUGGUCUGAGAGGAUGAUCAGUCACACUGGAACUGAGACACGGUCCAGACUCCUACGGGAGGCAGCAGUGGGGAAUAUUGGACAAUGGGCGAAAGCCUGAUCCAGCCAUGCCGCGUGUGUGAAGAAGGUCUUCGGAUUGUAAAGCACUUUAAGUUGGGAGGAAGGGCAGUAAGCUAAUACCUUGCUGUUUUGACGUUACCAACAGAAUAAGCACCGGCUAACUUCGUGCCAGCAGCCGCGGUAAUAC
rnacentral:rRNA from 1 species